rnacentral:rRNA from 1 species
CGGCGGACGGGUGAGUAACACGUGGAUAACCUACCUAUAAGACUGGGAUAACUUCGGGAAACCGGAGCUAAUACCGGAUAAUAUAUUGAACCGCAUGGUUCAAUGGUGAAAGACGGUUUUGCUGUCACUUAUAGAUGGAUCCGCGCCGCAUUAGCUAGUUGGUAAGGUAACGGCUUACCAAGGCAACGAUGCGUAGCCGACCUGAGAGGGCGAUCGGCCACACUGGAACUGAGACACGGUCCAGACUCCUACGGGAGGCAGCAGCC